UUCAUUGCCGCUUGAGGGCUUUCUCUAGUUGCGGUGAGCGGGUUCUCUUCGUUGAGUGCUGGGCUUCUCACUGCAGCGGCUUCUCUUCUCGCGGAGCACAGGCUUGGGGGCGUGUGGGCUCGCCAGUUGUGGCACAUGGGCUUCAUUGCUCCGAGGCAGCAAAGAUGAGGGAGCAGUGGGACCAGGUGUGGCCAGUUUGUCAGAAGCAGCAGCCCCUGGCUUGAGCCUUGAACAGAUGGGCGUGCGCUUCCCUGUUUCCUGGAAGACCUGUUGAAAGAAAUUCUGGCCUUGGGGAUAGCUCUAAAACAGACAGGGUUCCAGUUAUCACAAAUUUACACACGGUGGCAUCAGAGUGGGCCUCCUGGAGAAGGUGACCAUGUAAAGGAGGAGAGUGUUCCUGGGAGAAGGAAUGGCCAGUACAAAGGCUCAGAAAUGUCUUGGAGCUCGUUGGUGUUUGAGGAAGAAGACGGAGGCAACAUCUCACUCACUGAUGUCAGCUGGCUGCAAACCCUAAUGCCUGCAGGGGAGAGAGAGGCAGCAGAAAUAUACAAAGUGACACAUGGUGAACUGGAGGCAGGAAGAGAACAGAAAAUACAAAGUGACUUGCAAGGAACUAUACAAGGAAAUAUAUAAAAGAUUGUGCAAAAUUAUUCAGAUGAAGCCAUUUAAAUAAAUAUCGUGCUGACCAAAUGGAAUCAGCUUGGCCCUAGGUUGUUUACUUGGUUGGUCCCUGAAGUUAUCUGGGUGUAAACUGGAGCUGAUACACUCAGGGAGGCCCGAAAGAAGUCAGUUGCACACAAACUCAUCUUUUCCCUGCAUACAAUGAAGCUCUUUGUGAAGCUGAUAUGGCUACAGGUGAAGACUGUGUUCUAAGCCCAGAUAAUCCCUUUCAAGCUCUGGGGGCGAAAGUGUGACAUUUCAGCUUAAUCUUA